UAUCUGUUUCUGUUUCAGUUCAGUGAAUACAGUCAGUAUGAGUGCUAAUUUUAAUUUAAUGAUUAGAAACUAUGUAAGAAGGUGAAUUUAUAGAUGUCUAAAGAUAAAGUAAGACAAUUUAUAAACUUAUAUUGAAAGAACAACUGGAAGAACUCUUGAAAACGUUACAGGGACAAUCAUAUUCAGUCAUGAUUGUGAAAUCGCUCUACCUCACAGGAAGAGAGGACAUACUUGUCCGUUUUCAACCACCAUUUUGAAUUGUGAAAUCCCUCUACGUCACAUCUCUACGUCAGAGGAAGAGAGGACAAGCUUGUUCGUUUUCAACUACCAUUUUGAAUUGUGAAAUCUCUUUACGUCACAUCUCUAUGUCAGAGGAAGAGAGGACAAGCUUGUCCAUUUUCAACUGCCAUUUUGAAUUGGCGUUAUAGGAAGAGAGGACAUGCUUGUUUGUUUUCAACCGCCACUUUGAAAGUGAUGUCAUAGGAAGAGAAAACAUGCUUGUUUGUUUUCAACUGCCAUUUUGAAUUGUAAAAUCUCUUUACGUCAUCUCUAAGUUAUAGGAAGAGUAAACAAGCUUGUCCGUUUUCGACCGCCAUUUUAACUGAUUGUAUUGUAGUGUACAUUAUA